CGGGUGAGUAACACGUGAGCAACCUGCCUUUCAGAGGGGGACAACAGUUGGAAACGACUGCUAAUACCGCAUAAAAUAACGGAACCGCAUGAUUCUGUUAUCAAAGCAGAAAUCCGCUGAAAGAUGGGCUCGCGUCUGAUUAGAUAGUUGGUGAGGUAACGGCCCACCAAGUCGACGAUCAGUAGCCGGACUGAGAGGUUGAACGGCCACAUUGGGACUGAGACACGGCCCAGACUCCUACGGGAGGCAGCAG
rnacentral:rRNA from 1 species